rnacentral:rRNA from 1 species
UGGCCUACGGGGCGCAGCAGUGGGGAAUUUUGGACAAUGGGCGCAAGCCUGAUCCAGCUAUUCCGCGUGUGGGAUGAAGGCCCUCGGGUUGUAAACCACUUUUGUAGAGGACGAAAAGACACCUUUUAAUAAAGGGUGUUGCUGACGGUACUCUAAGAAUAAGCACCGGCUAACUACGUGCCAGCAGCCGCGGUAAUACGUAGGGUGCGAGCGUUAAUCGGAAUUACUGGGCGUAAAGGGUGCGCAGGCGGUUGAGUAAGACAGAUGUGAAAUCCCCGAGCUUAACUCGGGAAUUGCAAAUGGGA